CAUCGAUGAAGAACGCAGCGAAAUGCGAUACGUAAUGUGAAUUGCAAAUUCAGUGAAUCAUCGAGUCUUUGAACGCACAUUGCGCCCCCUGGUAUUCCGGGGGGCAUGCCUGUCCGAGCGUCAUUGCUGCCCUCAAGCACGGCUUGUGUGUUGGGCCCCGUCCUCCGAUUCCGGGGGACGGGCCCGAAAGGCAGCGGCGGCACCGCGUCCGGUCCUCGAGCGUAUGGGGCUUUGUCACCCGCUCUGUAGGCCCGGCCGGCGCUUGCCGAUCAACCCAAAUUUUUAUCCAGGUUGACCUCGGAUCAGGUAGGGAUACCCGCUGAACUUAAGCAUAUCAAUAAGCGGAGGAAAAGAAACCAACAGGGAUUGCCCCAGUAACGGCGAGUGAAGCGGCAAGAGCUCAAAUUUGAAAGCUGGCUCCUUCGGGGUCCGCAUUGUAAUUUGUAGAGGAUGCUUCGGGAGCGGUCCCCAUCUAAGUGCCCUGGAACGGGACGUCAUAGAGGGUGAGAAUCCCGUAUGGGAUGGGGUGUCCGCGCCCGUGUGAAGCUCCUUCGACGAGUCGAGUUGUUUGGGAAUGCAGCUCUAAAUGGGUGGUAAAUUUCAUCUAAAGCUAAAUAUUGGCCGGAGACCGAUAGCGCACAAGUAGAGUGAUCGAAAGAUGAAAAGCACUUUGAAAAGAGAGUUAAAAAGCACGUGAAAUUGUUGAAAGGGAAGCGCUUGCGACCAGACUCGCUCGCGGGGUUCAGCCGGCAUUCGUGCCGGUGUAUUUCCCCGCGGGCGGGCCAGCGUCGGUUUGGGCGGUCGGUCAAAGGCCCUCGGAAGGUAACGCCCCUAGGGGCGUCUUAUAGCCGAGGGUGCAAUGCGACCUGCCUAGACCGAGGAACGCGCUCGGCUC
rnacentral:rRNA from 1 species